GGGAUCUUUGAUUCUGUGCCACAAAGCAGUUCCCUUUACUAUGUCAGAACCCCCCUUACCUUUUGAGCUCACCCGGCCCUGCCACCUGGUAUUCCAUAACCUUCUCUCAAAGGCAACAGAAAGACCACAAGAUACUGUAGACAAUCCAUUGGUGUGAUUAAAUAUUUUGGAGAUCUCUUGGCAUUUGCUUCCUGGCAACUGUGGGGUAACGUUCUCUACACCAAAUGUCUCAAACUCAACUGUCUACAAGAGCCAAGAAACAAUCAUAACAAGAAUAAGAAGCAAGCCGGGUGCGGUGGCUCAUGCCUGUAAUUCCAGCACUUUGGGAGGCCGAGCUGGGAGGAUCACUUGAGCCCAGGAGUUUGAGACCAACCUGGGUAACAUAAUGAGACCUUACAAAAAAAAAUAAAAUUAAAUUUCAAAAACAUAAUUAGAUACCAGUGUAUCCCCAGCAGAUUGACACAAAUUAAAAGUCAACAGUAUCCUGUGUUGGUGAAGACAUACAGCAACUGGAAGUCUCCUGUGCAUGUUAGCCAUGUUUAUACCUUUCAUCUCAGCAGUUUCACUCUUAACGAUAUAUGCUAGAGAAACUCUUACUCAUGUGCUCCACAGACAGGUAGGAGGGCCCAAGGUAACCUUGUUUGUAAUUAAGAAAAAAUAAAAACAGGAAACAAG
rnacentral:lncRNA from 1 species